AUAGGGGUCGGAGGCGAACCCGGGGAAUUGAAACAUCUCAGUACCCGGAGGAAAGGAAAUCGAAGAGACUCCGUUAGUAGUGGCGAGCGAACGCGGACCAGGCCAGUGGCCGUUCACGAUCAAGCGGAACCGGAUGGAAAGCCGGGCCUCAGCGGGUGACAGCCCCGUACGCGUACAGGUCGUGGAGGGUCCUUGAGUAAGGCGGGACACGUGAAAUCCUGCCUGAAGACGGGGCGACCACGCUCCAAGCCUAAGUACUCCCAUGCGACCGAUAGUGAACCAGUACCGUG
rnacentral:rRNA from 9 species